rnacentral:lncRNA from 1 species
CAGCAGGAACCAGAAUUAGGGUUUUGGAGCACCCCCCAUCUGAACAGUCAAGUUUGCAGAGAUAGGUCCCUGGAUUCAUUACAUCAGACUCACACCUGCAGCUGCAGACUGGGAGUGCCCUCCAGAUGCUGCUAUGCCCUUGAAGCUGACCAUCCCGAAGAAAAAGGAGCACGGGAGAAGCUUGAGGAUCAGAAGGACAAAUGUCCUGCUCCAGUCACUCCAGAAGCUGACUGGUCUACACACAGCGGAAGCUUGAAGAGACUAUGGCCCUGUUCCAGCCACACUGGAGGGAUUGGCUGAUCAAUGCAUGGUGAAAGAUAAACUUCCCACCAGGAC